GGGCCUAUAGCUCAGAUGGAUAGAGCGCACGUCUGAUAAAUGUGAGGUCGGUAGUUCAAAUCUACCUAGGCCUA
rnacentral:tRNA from 1 species